rnacentral:rRNA from 1 species
UACGUAGGGUGCAAGCGUUGUCCGGAAUUAUUGGGCGUAAAGAGCUCGUAGGCGGUUUGUCGCGUCUGCUGUGAAAACUCGGGGCUUAACCCCGGGCCUGCAGUGGGUACGGGCAGACUAGAGUGCGGUAGGGGAGACUGGAAUUCCUGGUGUAGCGGUGAAAUGCGCAGAUAUUAGGAGGAACACCGGUGGCGAAGGCGCCGCUCUGGGCCGAAACUGACGCUGAGGAGCGAAAGCAUGGGGAGCGAACAGG